rnacentral:rRNA from 1 species
UACGGAGGGUGCGAGCGUUGUCCGGAAUCACUGGGCGUAAAGGGCGCGUAGGCGGCCCGGUAAGCGUGCGGUGAAAGUCCGGGGCUCAACCCCGGAUCGGCCGUGCAGACUGUCGGGCUCGAGCACUGUAGGGGCGGGUGGAACUCCGGGUGUAGCGGUGGAAUGCGUAGAGAUCCGGAAGAACACCGGUGGCGAAGGCGGCCCGCUGGGCAGUGGCUGACGCUGAGGCGCGACAGCGUGGGGAGCAAACAGG